AACCUGGAAAAUUACUAGAAAUCUUGGUUUUGUUCCUAGCUUCGAUGCUCGAACACUCCACCACAAGUCAGUUGGAUUUGUUCUUCACAAUUCUUGAUCAGACAGGUAGAUAAAAAAAACAAGGAAAUAAAAUACUAUGAUCUAACGUAAGGUUAGAUCCAUUAAAAAUUACACAAUAGUUUCCGGUGUAGAAACUAUUGUGAGAAAAUAAAUCGAAUGCUUAGUAAAUUAAGC
rnacentral:lncRNA from 1 species